UACAUGUGGGGCGAGCGUUGUUCGGAAUUACUGGGCAUAAAGGGUGCGUAGGCGGCAUGCCAAGUCACUGGUGAAAGUUCACGGCCCAACCGUGAAAUUGCCGGUGAUACUGGCGUACUUGAGUGCGUGAGGGGUCGGGGGGAACGAGUGGUGUAGCGGUGAAAUGCGUAGAGAUCACUCGGAAGGCCGGAGCCGAAGGGGCCCGACUGGUACGCAACUGACGCUGAGGCACGGAAAGCGUGGGGAGCAAACAGG
rnacentral:rRNA from 1 species